CUGACGUCAUCCCGCCGAAAUUUUCAUUGGCCAAUUCAUAUGUAAACGUCAUUGUAUUUGCAAAAAAGCGGUUAACUUUAAAAGCCAGACAUUGAGGGCAAAGCGCAAAAGUAAAAUGUCUCGGAUAUUGCGAAAAAAAAAACGCGCGUGUUAGUCAGUUAAAUAGUUAGUUAGUUACUUAUUUUGUUUAAAGUUCAUAAAUUUAAAUUGAAAAGUGUAAGGCAAUAAUAACUGAAACGGACUAAUGGAGUAAUGCAAGAUCUUCCACAAAGUGACCAACGGACUGUCGGAUUACUAACGAUUCAAAACAAUUAUGAAUAACAACAGAACUGGAAAUACCCGCGGGCGCGGGAGACCAAAGAAACGACAGUUUCAGCAGAAAAAGGAAGGAAGACCAGAUGAUGUGAUUAAAAAGGAUAAGUAUAUGGUUGCUCAGUCUACCACACAGGAAAGUAUAGAAAUAUCCAAUGCUAAUACAAAUGUAAAUAAAACAACAACACAAAUUUUAACUUUAGAAAAUUUGCUUACUCUUGGUCCAAUUAAUGUUUUGUCCGUUACAACUGAGUUUGGUUUACAGGAUUCUGUUUUUGGACCCUGGGAGUAUAAAAAUGCAAGAAACUGCAUCAUAAAGUAUACCAUUCAAGGCUCAGAUAUCAGUAAUUCAAUUCGACUUGAUAGCAUGUUAACAAGAGGAAUACCAAGUACUGAAAGAUCAUCCCUCACUUUCCGUUGGUAUUCAUGGAUUCGUUUGAAGGCCAUUG